rnacentral:rRNA from 1 species
UACGGAGGGUGCGAGCGUUGUCCGGAAUCACUGGGCGUAAAGGGCGCGUAGGCGGCGCGGGAAGGCGUCGGUGAAAGCUCAGGGCUCAACUCUGAGUCGGCCGGCGAUACUUUCGUGCUCGAGCACUGUAGAGGCAGGUGGAAUUCCUGGUGUAGCGGUGAAAUGCGUAGAUAUCAGGAGGAACACCUGUGGCGAAAGCGGCGCACUGGACCACAACUGACGCUGAGGCGCGAAAGCUAGGGGAGCAAACAGG